rnacentral:rRNA from 1 species
AGCGAACGCUGGCGGCGUGCCUAACACAUGCAAGUCGAACGUGAACGGGGCAACCCUAGUAAAGUGGCGUACGGGUGAGUAACACGUAGGUAAUCUACCUUAGAGUCUGGGAUAACCUGACGAAAGUCGGGCUAAUACUGGAUAGAGCGACGGAAGCCGUAAUGGUUUUUUCGGGAAAGGGAGCCUGAUAAGGGCCUUUGCUCUAAGAUGAGCCUGCGUCUGAUUAGUUAGUUGGUGGGGUAAUGGCCUACCAAGACGAUGAUCAGUAGC